GAUGAAGAACGUAGCGAAAUGCGAUACUUGGUGUGAAUUGCAGAAUCCCGUGAACCAUCGAGUCUUUGAACGCAAGUUGCGCCCGAAGCCAUUAGGCCGAGGGCACGCCUGCCUGGGCGUCACACGUCGUUGCCCCCCCAUCUACUCCUUCGGGAUUGCGGGGGGCGGAUGAUGGCCUCCCGUGCGCCUCGUCGCGCGGUUGGCAUAAAUGCCAAGUCCUCGGCGACGCACGCCACGACAAUCGGUGGUUGCGAAACCUCGGUUGCCCGUCGUGUGCGGUCGUCGCGCAUCGAGGGCUCGAAAAAAUUGCCGGGCUCCGGCUCGGCUUUCAACGCGACCCCAGGUCAGGCGGGGUUACCGCUGAAUUUAAGCAUAUCAAUAAGCGGAGGA
rnacentral:misc_RNA from 1 species